rnacentral:rRNA from 1 species
UACGUAGGGUGCGGGCGUUGUCCGGAAUUAUUGGGCGUAAAGAGCUCGUAGGCGGCUUGUCGCGUCGGCUGUGAAAACCUGGGGCUCAACUCCGGGCCUGCAGCCGAUACGGGCAAGCUAGAGUUCGGUAGGGGAGACUGGAAUUCCUGGUGUAGCGGUGAAAUGCGCAGAUAUCAGGAGGAACACCGGUGGCGAAGGCGGGUCUCUGGACAGUUCCUGACACUGAGGCACGAAGGCCAGGGGAGCAAACGGG